AGGGAAGACGAAUGACAGCCAUAGAAGAAGAGGCAUCAUCCUGUCUCUAAAUGGCAGGAGGACUUUGUAUAAGCCUUCCAGACAAUGGAAGCCAUGUGGGCGAAGACUCAGCUGAUAAAUUCGUCAGAAAGUAUAUCCUAAAGUGAACCAUUCAUCUCACCUGCUAUGCAAGACUUCAACUGUGAUGGUGACACAGAUGGAAAAUGGACUGGAGCUUUACUGACAGUCAGUGGUUCUAGGUCAGCCUCGGUAUGCAGGAUUCACAAAGUGAAGUUGGAGAAGGAGAACUGAAGUCUAAGAACUUGCAGGUGAACAGGGAAAAUUACAUUUGAAAGGAAGCGAAACCACACAAGCCCUAGAUGCACCAUUGGUAAAUUCCUCAACUUCCAAAGAAGGAUUUCACUGUGUGGACUCUUGUGGAUGGAACAGAGUAGAAUAGUUUUGCUUAUUUCUUAGCUUCCACAGCAAUGGAAUUGUGUGGUAAUGCUACAGGUACGUGCUGUGUGACAAAACUUUUCCUGGGGACAUGCAACACACAUCUACCCAAGCUAGAUAGGGAACCCACAGCAGACCAAAGUACAGAUACCACUGUAGGGCAAAAGGUUCAAGCUCACUUCCAAAUUUGAAAGGUCACCAAAACCCACCUUAAACCCCUCCAGUCCCUGAGCUUGAAAUCCCACUAAUCCCUGAGUCUGAAAUCCUACUAGUUCCUGGGUUUGCACUGAGAUCUCACCAAUCCCUACCCUGGAAUUCUUCACCCUGGAAAACUCAUGCCCCACGAACCCCUAUAUAAAGCCGGCCUCCUGUAAGUUCCCUGCUGCUCCUCAUCCAAACCACCCUCUUGUGUGUCUUCCAAUAAAUCUCUUGUGUGA
rnacentral:lncRNA from 1 species